AAAUAGGAAAAGGAGAAGCAUGUAGGUGUGGAGGGAGGAAAGUCAGAUGAGGAGGGCAAGCAGGAUCUUAUCGGCCACCGGCUGACGUCUCACAUCUCGGACCCUCGAGUCUUAGAAGCGGCAUGGCCAAGGCCCGGAGUGUGGUCCUCAGCACUAAAAAAAAGCAAGGUAGAGGAGUCAGGCAGGUGCAGCCUGUGGAGCAUUACUGGGGGACAUUUCCUUCACACCACCAGUCCAGGGCUGUCUCAUCCGUCCCCAGGCUUCCAAGUAGAUGGAAUUCCUGCAGCCCUGCUCCGUGGGAUUUUGUCAUGGCCUCUAAGGUUCACAGGGAAGGAAAUGACUCCUUCACCAGAAAUAAAUCCCCAACCAAGACUAAAUAGUGAACGCUUUUGGAACUCUUAGCCCAAGUUUGUCUGCUGUAAAUUAAGCCAUUAGAGAAAGUUACACCAAAAAGUGUAAUGAGAAGUGAUCUUCUACCUCUUCUCCAUGUCUAAGCCUAGAACAGACGGAAUUGAGAUGCAAGGCCCUGAAGGUGGAGUUCCCAGGAUACCUGGCCCUGCAUCUCUUAGUCAGAGCCACUCUGGCUCUUGUGGCUUUGGUACCUGGACAGAAAGACAGCUUUCAGCCACCACUUUCCCCACCCCUUCCUUCCCUUCCUGUUUACCUGCUUGGGGGAAGGAAGGAAGAGUGAGGCGACAGGAGCUUCCUGCCAGGUUGCCAAAGGUGGUCUUUCUUAGCACCCUCCUCUUUCCUCAAAAUAUUCAAGACUCUGUUCCAAGCUUCGUGACACAAAGUUGGGGUAGGAGCAAAGAUACAGAGCUUGGAGGCAGCCAGUGGAAACUGUCCCACUCCAGGCCACCACACCCUCUUCCCACCCCAAAAACUGUCUUCUCUGUCCUAGUGGACCACUUCAUACCCCCGGCCCUGGGGAGGAGCAGGAUCUGCCUCUCCGGUCCCAGCCUCACGCUGCCCUUCCCUGAGUCGCCCCGAGUCUGCUUGCUUGCUGUUCGAUCUUCAGCCCACUCCACAGCCCGUGGGGCCAGGUGGGCAGAUGCGCCUUCUCCAUCCUCUCUGGAUCGGGGUGACAGGAGGCUGCGCUGGAGGUCACACCAGCUCCUCCUGCAGCUGGGGUGAGGGGCCCAAUGCCCAGCUUCUCCUAAUGAUCCAGCAACAGCUUUGCUUGGAAAAGAGACCACCCACACUUCACCCAGGGCAGCAGGUCGGCCCUGGACCCUCCCCUCCUCCGAGGCAGCACCAGAAGCCUAGGGAGCCUGUGACAAAGCUUGGUCCUGACUCCCAGCACAGCCCUGCGCUCUGGGUGUGAAAGCUGCGCUGUGAGGGGCCUGGGUGCACCAGGCGGGUCGUGGGCAGGUGUGGGGCACUGAGCCCCAGGAGCAAGCAAACUCCUUUCCUGGCCACGUCUGCUCCUGGCCAUCUCAACCCUCCAGACUGAGAGGACACAGUAAGUACGUGUCUCUUCCCUGCACUUUUCUCUCACACUUUCUUCAGCUCUUCCUGGCUCCCUGCUGAGAGCCUCCUGCUUUUGAGGCCUUUGCACCAGAGACUGCCAUCAGGAUCUGAACCCAGCCGCCCAGAUUCUGCUGCCUCCCCAACCCUGCGGAUGCCUGGGGACUGGCAAAGACUCAUCUGUCCUCAUCCUGGCUACACGUAUGCCCAGGCCUAGACUGGUGUGUGCACUGGCACUGGGGCCCUGCCUCGGAGCAGAGGGCAGCCUAGGUGUGCACUGGGGCCCCAGCCCUGAAUGCAUGUGUGCCUGUGCAUUGGGCACACUGGUUUAUUAGUGUUAUUUCAGCAUUGUGAUGCAGAGAGAGUAAGUGUAACAGCUGCUCCUUGCUUGCAGUGUUUAUUGUUACCUAGAGACAACCUCCUGGCUUUUUCCCAGCUCCCCUCCCCCCAGCCCAGCCCCCUCCCUGCCAACAAUCCUGCUCUCCCUACACUGAUGGGAAAUUUAUAGCUUGUCCAUACCAUGCCUUUAACCCUCUCCUGUCCGUCGGUGGAUGGGCCAGGAAGCCAGGCUGAGCAGUGGGCAUACUUGGGCCCCAGCAGAGUUGAACAAUGUGUGGGAGAGAGAGGGAGGAAUGACACGUCCCCCUCCACCCUGUGUGCCCAGGCUCAGGCCCCAGUUGCCCUCCUGGUCCUCACAAGAAGAGAGGAGAGGAAAGAGCUCUUGACCUGCUCUUGAGAUCUGGGAAGAGUUCUUUUGGCCCUAGCCUCAGGGUCCCGACAUCCUCCUGACAAGACCUUUCUCUUCCCUGGGCAACCCUAAGCCCCCAGCUGCAUUAGCUGAACCAGAGCGAUGGAGCCAGGUAGCACUGAAGUGGAAGUGGAAAACCCAAGUAGCAGAACCCUUAGCCCCUCUUUUCUGUCUGAGAGAGGCAACUCUAGAGAUGUCUGGCCAGAUACUGGCCAGACCUCCACGUCUGGGUAGACAUCAGACCGGAAGCCCACUGUAUCCUGAGUCUGAGAUGGCACCCAGGUCCCAGGAGACUCCUGGGCUCAUCUGCAAGCUGGCCUUGGUCUGCCUGUCCUUCCUGCUCCAUCUCUCCUGUGUGUCUUUUGGUUUGGUACCUUGGACAGAGGCCAAAGGGGCUGAAGCACCCUCAUCAUGUCCUCCGAGGAGCUGGGAAAAUAGAAGUCCCUGGAACCAUUCAUGGAGAAGUCAGGAGGAACCAGGCCAUCAGCUCCCCAUCCUCACUGGAAGCAAAGGGAGAAAAGAGACUGGACGUCAGCAGGCAAGAUGGAGGUUAAACACACGAGAAAACUUCCUCUAGGAUGAAAGACCAGAGUGGGCCUACUUCUCUCCAGAGGUCUGUCUUCUGCCUACAAGGGAUUGGAGUCCUACAUGUACAGGGAACGCCGGAGAACGUGCUUCCUUCUGCGGGCUGCCUCAGUCUCCACACAGCACACCUCCUCACGCCAUCAAAAUAUCAUACCUGUGGUGCUCAGAUCACGGAUUAACCCAGCAGAGGGCCAGGUUCCAGUGCCAGCCCUGCCACUCGCCAGCUGCCUUGGUAAGUCACUUGGCCCCUUUGAGCCUGAGUGUCCUUAUCUGUGAUGUGCAGGUGAACAGCUCCCCUUGGGUGGUUGUGAGAAUCUGCACACACAUGUGUAAAGCACCCAGGACAGUGCCCGACAGUGGGCACGCAAUGCAGUAGAGCACUGUUACUGCAGAGCCAGCAGGGCCCACGUGGUUCCACACUCUGUGAUGCCCCCCACUUGCCAGGAGAAUGUUCGUUGUUUUCUUCAUGGCGUGGACUAGAGUGGCAGUGCCCUAGAAAGGACCCAGAUUCCCCAAGGAGUCAGUUCCCCCAUUCCCGUGCCUCCCUAGCCAGGAAAGAAGCUAUGGUCCCAUGCCACCUCUUAGCCACUCUUGUACCUGGCAGCCCUAAGAAGGAUAGCAACAACUAGCUUUCUCCAGGCACUUUACAGUUUGCCAAGUACAUUGACCUACAUUAGCUCUUUUUUUGGUACUGGGGAUCAAACUCAGGACCCUGUGCUUGCAAAGCAGGCAGUGGAACCACUGAGCUACAUCUCCAGCCCCUAUAUUAGCUCUUUUGAUAUCCAGAGCAAUCCAGGAAGAAAAGAGAACUGCAUUUAUUGGGUGUCUACUAUGUACCAGCAUUGUACUGGGUGAUUUUUUAAAUUUGUUGUUUUUGGGUUGAUUUUGUGUUUUUUGUUUGUUUUGGUUUUGGGUUUUGGGAAGAUGGGGUGACACAGGGUCUCACUAUGUAGUCGAGGCCAGCCUUGAACUCACUGUGUAUCCCAAACUAGCCUUGAACUCAUAGAGAUCCUCCUGCCUCAGCCACCCCAGUGCAGGGAUUACAGAUUGUACCACCAUGUCAGGCUCUGAGUGUUUUUUUUUGCGGGGGGGUACCGGGGAUCGAACUUGGGACCUUGCAUUUGCGAGGCAGGCGCUGGAACCACUGAGCUAAAUCCCCAGCCCUUCUGGGUGUAUUUUUUUAAAGCAUCUUUAAAGUCUACGUAGAGUAUUUUAUCACCUACAUACACUGUGAUUUAUGUCUCAUCACCUAUUUUUAAUCAUUUAUAUCUUUUCACUGCUAUAAAUAAUAUGGCAGUGAAUAUCCAAACACAUAAAAUUUCUUCCCUUUUUUCCCCCCUGUAUAUGUGUGUGUGUGGUACUGGGGAUUGAACCCUGGACCUUGCACAUACUAGGCAGGCGCUCUUCCACUGAGCUAUAUUCCCAGCCUGUUUUUAACAUUUGUUUGUUUAUUUAUUUAUUUAUUUAUUUAGACAAAGUCUUGCUAAAUUGCCCAGGCAGGCCUCACAUUUUGAAUAUUCCUGCCUCAGCCUCAUGAAUAGCUGAGAUUAUAAGCGGGCAUCCUGCUUGGCUUCAUGCAUUGUUAAUAAUACAUUCCAAGAAGUGGAAUUAUUGGGUCAAUAGAUACAAAUACCCCCCAUGGUUAUGAUCAUUUCAUUGAUGUACCAUAAUGAGAAUAAUAUUUAUUAACCUUCCUCUUUGGAAUUCUACAAUGGGAACACAUGGGCAGCUCCUUCUCCCCUAUACCCAGCAGAGACAUUAAUAAUUUGUCAUAACAUUUAGUAAGAAAAUGAGAUAAGUAUAGAUUCCCAUGCUGCUGUUAAGAAAUAAUACAGUGAUCUCAUGUGCACCUUGCCCACUUUCACUGAAUGGUAACGGUUUGCAAAGCCAUAUUAUGAUAUCACAGCCAGAAUAUUGACAUUGCUACAAUCUACCGGCCUUGUAAAUGUUUCUCUUGUUCUUGUCUGGGUAUGUGUAUAUUAAGUCCUAAGCUGUUUUAUUACCUGUGUAAGUUUGUAUAUCCACCACUAUAGUCCCAGCACCACAAAGAUUCCUCAUGUUUUAUUUUUAUAAUCACACCUAUUUCUCUACCCCCGCUUAAUAUUUUGUACCACUACUCUGUCCUCCUCUUCUAAAUUUUGUCACUUCAGGAACUGAAACAUACAACACGUAACCUUUUAGGAUUGGGUCUUUUCACACAGCACAAUUCCCAGGAGAUCAUCCAAGUUUUCGUGGGUAUCAACGGUUCACUGCUUUCAUUUAUCUCCAGUAUAGAUACACCACAGCUUCUUUAACCAUUCACCUGUCGGAGGACAUCUGGGCUGAUUCCAGUUUUGGGCUAUUACAAAUAAAGUUGUUAUGAACCAUCAUGUAUGAAUUUUUGUAUGAACAUAAAUAUUUUUAAUGUUAACAAAUUGUCUUAUCAGCAAAAGUUCUCUCACUUUGUUCGCUAGUACUAGCAAUGAAUGAAGUUGCCCAUUUUACUUAGUUUGCUGAAUGUUUUAUAGUCGUGAUUAUUAACCCCCGUUAUGGUUUCUACCUAGAUGUCCGCCCAAAGCCUCAUGUGCUCGCGGGGCUGGGUGGUGGGGGGUGUCACGGCUGCCUGGCUCUUAAGAGGUGGGUCUGGUUGGAAGAGGGUCACUG
rnacentral:lncRNA from 1 species